rnacentral:rRNA from 1 species
GAUGAACGCUGGCGGCGUGCCUAAUACAUGCAAGUCGAGUGAACGGACGAGAAGCUUGCUUCUCUGAUGUUAGCGGCGGACGGGUGAGCAACACGUGGAUAACCUACCUAUAAGACUGGGAUAACUUCGGGAAACCGGAGCUAAUACCGGAUGAUAUUUUGAACCGCAUGGUUCAAAAGUGAAAGACGGUCUUGCUGUCACUUAUAGAUGGAUCCGCGCUGCAUUAGCUAGUUGGUAAGGUAACGGCUUACCAAGGCAACGAUGCAUAGCCGACCUGAGAGGGUGAUCGGCCACACUGGAACUGAGACACGGUCCAGACUCCUACGGGAGGCAGCAGUAGGGAAUCUUCCGCAAUGGGCGAAAGCCUGACGGAGCAACGCCGCGUGAGUGAUGAAGGUCUUCGGAUCGUAAAACUCUGUUAUUAGGGAAGAACAUAUGUGUAAGUAACUGUGCACAUCUUGACGGUACCUAAUCAGAAAGCCACGGCUAACUACGUG